rnacentral:rRNA from 1 species
UACGUAGGGACCGAGCGUUGUCCGGAAUCAUUGGGCGUAAAGAGCGUGUAGGCGGCUAUUUAAGUCCUGCGUGAAAUCCUGCGGCUCAACCGCAGACGGUCGUGGGAAACUGGAUGGCUAGAGUGCGGGAGAGGAGAGUGGAACUGCGAGUGUAGAGGUGAAAUUCGUAGAUAUUCGCAAGAACACCAGUGGCGAAGGCGGCUCACUGGCCCGAUACUGACGCUGAGGCACGAAAGCGUGGGGAGCAAACAGG